GGGACGCUUCGGAUUAUUGGGCGUAAGAGCUCGUAGGCGGUUUGUCGCGUCUGCCGUGAAAGUCCGGGGCUCAACUCCGGAUCUGCGGUGGGUACGGGCAGACUAGAGUGAUGUAGGGGAGACUGGAAUUCCUGGUGUAGCGGUGAAAUGCGCAGAUAUCAGGAGGAACACCGAUGGCGAAGGCAGGUCUCUGGGCAUUAACUGACGCUGAGGAGCGAAAGCAUGGGGAGCGAACAGGAUUAGAUACCCUGGUAGUCCAUGCCGUAAACGUUGGGCACUAGGUGUGGGGGACAUUCCACGUUUUCCGCGCCGUAGCUAACGCAUUAAGUGCCCCGCCUGGGGAGUACGGCCGCAAGGCUAAAACUCAAAGGAAUUGACGGGGGCCCGCACAAGCGGCGGAGCAUGCGGAUUAAUUCGAUGCAACGCGAAGAACCUUACCAAGGCUUGACAUGGGCCGGACCGGGCUGGAAACAGUCCUUCCCCUUUGGGGCCGGUUCACAGGUGGUGCAUGGUUGUCGUCAGCUCGUGUCGUGAGAUGUUGGGUUAAGUCCCGCAACGAGCGCAACCCUCGUUCCAUGUUGCCAGCGCGUAAUGGCGGGGACUCAUGGGAGACUGCCGGGGUCAACUCGGAGGAAGGUGGGGACGACGUCAAAUCAUCAUGCCCCUUAUGUCUUGGGCUUCACGCAUGCUACAAUGGCCGGUACAAAGGGUUGCGAUACUGUGAGGUGGAGCUAAUCCCAAAAAGCCGGUCUCAGUUCGGAUUGGGGUCUGCAACUCGACCCCAUGAAGUCGGAGUCGCUAGUAAUCGCAGAUCAGCAACGCUGCGGUGAAUACGUUCCCGGGCCUUGUACACACCGCCCGUCAAGUCACGAAAGUUGGUAACACCCGAAGCCGGUGGCCUAACCCCUUGUGGGAGGGAGCUGUCGAAAGGUGGGACUGGCGAUUGGGACUAAGUCGUAACAAGGUAAC
rnacentral:rRNA from 1 species